AUUGAACGCUGGCGGCAGGCCUAACACAUGCAAGUCGAACGGUAACAGGAAACAGCUUGCUGUUUCGCUGACGAGUGGCGGACGGGUGAGUAAUGUCUGGGAAACUGCCUGAUGGAGGGGGAUAACUACUGGAAACGGUAGCUAAUACCGCAUAACGUCGCAAGACCAAAGAGGGGGACCCUCGGGCCUCUUGCCAUCGGAUGUGCCCAGAUGGGAUUAGCUUGUUGGUGGGGUAACGGCUCACCAAGGCGACGAUCCCUAGCUGGUCUGAGAGGAUGACCAGCCACACUGGAACUGAGACACGGUCCAGACUCCUACGGGAGGCAGCAGUGGGGAAUAUUGCACAAUGGGCGCAAGCCUGGUGCAGCCAUGCCGCGUGUAUGAAGAAGGCCUUCGGGUUGUAAAGUACUUUCAGCGGGGAGGAAGGGAGUAAAGUUAAUACCUUUGCUCAUUGACGUUACCCGCAGAAGAAGCACCGGCUAACUCCGU
rnacentral:rRNA from 1 species